CCUUUGACGUUAGCGGCGGACGGGUGAGUAACACGUGGGUAACCUACCUAUAAGACUGGGAUAACUUCGGGAAACCGGAGCUAAUACCGGAUAAUAUUUCGAACCGCAUGGUUCGAUAGUGAGAGGUGGUUUUGCUAUCACUUAUAGAUGGACCCGCGCCGUAUUAGCUAGUUGGUAAGGUAACGGCUUACCAAGGCGACGAUACGUAGCCGACCUGAGAGGGUGAUCGGCCACACUGGAACUGAGACACGGUCCAGACUCCUACGGGAGGCAGCAGAG
rnacentral:rRNA from 1 species